AGCAUAUCAAUAAGCGGAGGAAAAGAAACCAACAGGGAUUGCCUUAGUAACUGCGAGUGAAGCGGCAAUAGCUCAAAUUUGAAAUCUGGAGCCUUUGGCUUCCGAGUUGUAAUUUGAAGAGGAAGUUUCGGUUGUGGCCCUGGUCUAAGUGCCUUGGAACAGGACGUCGUAGAGGGUGAGAAUCCCGUACACGGCUGUGGGCCUACUUCCAUGUGAAACUCCUUCGAAGAGUCGAGUUGUUUGGGAAUGCAGCUCAAAAUGGGUGGUAAAUUUCAUCUAAAGCUAAAUAUUGGCGAGAGACCGAUAGCGCACAAGUAGAGUGAUCGAAAGAUGAAAAGCACUUUGAAAAGAGAGUUAAACAGUACGUGAAAUUGUUGAAAGGGAAGCGCUUGCAAUCAGACUCGCUUUCGGUUGAUCAAUGUUCCUUCUGGUUCAUGCACUCUGCCGUUUGCGGGCCAGCAUCAGUCGGAGCGGUGGGACAAAGGUUCUGGGAAUGUAGCUCCCUUCGGGGAGUGUUAUAGCCCAGUUCGUAAUGCCACCAGUUCCAACUGAGGUCCGCGGUUAUGCCUAGGAUGCUGGCUUAAUGGUUGUAAGCGACCCGUC
rnacentral:rRNA from 1 species